AGUGAACGCUGGCGGUAGGCCUAACACAUGCAAGUCGAACGGCAGCACAGUAAGAGCUUGCUCUUACGGGUGGCGAGUGGCGGACGGGUGAGGAAUACAUCGGAAUCUACUUUUUCGUGGGGGAUAACGUAGGGAAACUUACGCUAAUACCGCAUACGACCUACGGGUGAAAGCAGGGGAUCUUCGGACCUUGCGCGAUUGAAUGAGCCGAUGUCGGAUUAGCUAGUUGGCGGGGUAAAGGCCCACCAAGGCGACGAUCCGUAGCUGGUCUGAGAGGAUGAUCAGCCACACUGGAACUGAGACACGGUCCAGACUCCUACGGGAGGCAGCAGUGGGGAAUAUUGGACAAUGGGCGCAAGCAUGAUACAGCCAGACCGCGUGGGUGAAGAAGGCCUUCGGGUUGUAAAGCCCUUUUGUUGGGAAAGAAAAGCAGCAGGUUAAUACCACGCUGUUCUGACGGUACCCAAAGAAUAAGCACCGGCUAACUUCGUG
rnacentral:rRNA from 1 species